AUUAGGAAUCUUGCACAAUGGGGGAAACCCUGAUGCAGCGACGUCGCGUGAAGGAUGAAGGCAUUCGUGUCGUAAACUUCUUUUGUCGGGGAAGAAAAAAAUGACGGUACCCGGCGAAUAAGCCCCGGCUAACUACGUGCCAGCAGCCGCGGUAAUACGUAGGGGGCGAGCGUUGUCCGAAGUUACUGGGCGUAAAGCGCGCGUAGGCGGCUUUUUAAGUUUGAGGUGAAAGGUUCAGCGCUCAACGUGAACAGUGCCUUGAAUACUGGGAAGCUUGAAUGUGACAGAGGGUCGUGGAAUUUCUGGUGUAGCGGUGAAAUGCGUAGAUAUCAGAAGGAACACCAAUGGCGAAGGCAGCGACCUGGGUUAACAUUGACGCUGAGGUGCGAAAGCGUGGGGAGCGAACGG
rnacentral:rRNA from 1 species